CCUACGGGUGGCAGCAGUGAGGAAUAUUGGUCAAUGGGCGCGAGCCUGAACCAGCCAAGUCGCGUGAGGGAAGACGGCCCUAUGGAUUGUAAACCUCUUUUGUCGGGGAGCAAAAGACGCCACGCGUGGCGAUCCGAGAGUACCCGAAGAAAAAGCAUCGGCUAAAUCCGUGGCAGCAGCCGCGGUAAUACGGAGGAUGAGAACGUUAUCCGGAUUUAUUGGGUUUAAAGGGUGCGCAGGCGGAAGAUCAAGUCAGCGGUAAAAUUGAGAGGCUCAACCUCUUCGAGCCGUUGAAACUGGUUGUCUUGAGUGAGCGAGAAGUAUGCGGAAUGCGUGGGGUAGCGGUGAAAUGCAUAGAUAUCACGCAGAACUCCGAUUGCGAAGGCAGCAUACCGGCGCUCAACUGACGCUCAUGCACGAAAGUGUGGGUAUCGAACAGGAUUAGAUACCCGGGUAGUC
rnacentral:rRNA from 1 species